rnacentral:rRNA from 1 species
UACAGAGGGUCCGAGCGUUGUCCGGAAUUACUGGGCGUAAAGAGCUCGCAGGUGGUUUGUCGCGUUGUUCGUGAAAACUCACAGCUUAACUGUGGGCGUGCGGGCGAUACGGGCAGACUGGAGUACUGCAGGGGAGACUGGAAUUCCUGGUGUAGCGGUGGAAUGCGCAGAUAUCAGGAGGAACACCGGUGGCGAAGGCGGGUCUCUGGGCAGUAACUGACGCUGAGGAGCGAAAGCGUGGGGAGCGAACAGG